rnacentral:rRNA from 1 species
UACGGAGGGGGCGAGCGUUGUCCGGAAUCACUGGGCGUAAAGGGCGCGUAGGUGGCGUGAUAAGGGUGUGGUGAAAGCCCGGGGCUCACCCCCGGAAGUGCAUUGGAAACUGGCGGACUCGAGUCCCGGAGAGGAGAGUGGAAUUCCUGGUGUAGCGGUGAAAUGCGUAGAUAUCAGGAGGAACACCGGUGGCGAAGGCGGCUCUCUGGACGGUGACUGACGCUGAGACGCGAAAGCGUGGGGAGCAAACAGG